GGAAAGUUACACGCAACGCUUUUUGAGUUUGAAGCGAAACCCAGAGCGUUUGAGAAGAAAUUCUGGGUCGUAUUUGCAAAAGGACAGCUGGAAUUAAAAGCCAUAGCUAGGGCAGGUUGCACUCCGGCCCAGCCCCCUUCUGCGCGCCCCGACGCUGCUUUCUCCUCACAAAUUACAACGGGCACAGUCCUCCGACUGCUUGAGCUCCUCCAGACCAGGAUUUUGAUCCUUGCUUGACACAGUUACAGCUAUUUUCCAGGCUGCAGCACAAACUGUACGUAAGUAUGGCUGGGAGAUGCCAGAUUCCUCUCCAUGAAACCUACUUAGUGGUGUCUGUCUCCAGGAAUCAAAGACAGGAAGUUCUGAAAUCUUUCAAAAAGAAGCAAGAGAUCAAUUUAAAGGAGUCACUCAUCCAAGCAAGUGUGCGAGCAAGCAAACAGGUUUUCACUGAAUCUCCAACUGCCAGCAAGCUAACUCCACUGCCA